rnacentral:sRNA from 9 species
AAAGCCACCCUACAGGGGGGAUGAGAACCACCGACCGGGGUUCGACAACCGGCGCAGCCAGUUGGACAGACGACGAGCUUGCGAGGAGACUGCCCGAAGGGCGAGCGCAGCGAGUCAAUCCCCCCCCUCACCGCCA